ACCACAAAUUUUCCCCCUUCAUAUCUCCACACACACACUACCUCUUCAAUCAGCUAUAUAUAUAUUUAUGGUUCAUUAGUCUAUUAUUUAAGUAUUCAAACAACAACUUGAUACACCUUAUUUUCCCAUAUUUUCAUAACUUGUUCACACAGCAAACUUUGAAGUAUAAAGAGAAUUUAUUAAUGGCUGCUACUGCUACUGCUACUGCUGGUUCAUUUUCAAUGAAGGGUUCGAAGGUUCGAUCGCUGGGACGAUACAGUUCGAAGCAAGUUCGUCAGCAGAGAGCAAGGUGCUGCCAUGGGAGCUUUGGGGUGUGAAAUUAUUAACACUCAAAGGUGAUGCAGUAGUUUUUUUUACUACAGGGUAGGGUAGGUGAAGGAAUAUAAUUAAGGAGCUAGAUGAAGCAGGAGUUUCAGCUUAAACUGUAAAUUACAAUUAGUAUUCAGCCAUGUAUAGAUAUAAUGAUAAUUAUAAUGAUAAUUUUCAAGUUGAA